rnacentral:rRNA from 1 species
UGGGGAAUAUUGCACAAUGGGCGAAAGCCUGAUGCAGCAACGCCGCGUGAGUGAUGAAGGUCUUCGGAUUGUAAAGCUCUGUCUUUUGGGACGAUAAUGACGGUACCAAAGGAGGAAGCCACGGCUAACUACGUGCCAGCAGCCGCGGUAAUACGUAGGUGGCGAGCGUUGUCCGGAUUUACUGGGCGUAAAGGUGCGUAGGCGGAUGUUUAAGUGAGAUGUGAAAUACCCGGGCUUAACUUGGGUGCUGCAUUUCAAACUGGAUAUCUAGAGUGCAGGAGAGGAGAAUGGAAUUCCUAGUGUAGCGGUGAAAUGCGUAGAGAUUAGGAAGACACCAGUGGCGAAGGCGAUUCUCUGGACUGUAACUGACGCUGAGGCACGAAAGCGUGGGUAGCAAACAGGAUUAGAUACCCUGGUAGUCCACGCCGUAAACGAUGAGUACUAGGUGUAGGAGGUAUCGACCCCUUCUGUGCCGCAGUAAACACAUUAAGUACUCCGCCUGGGAAGUACGAUCGCAAGAUUAAAACUCUAAAGUGAAUU